UGAAGCCGCGAAUAGCUCAUUACAAUAGCCGUUGUUUCUUGGAUCCUCAAUUUACUUGGAUACCUGUGGUAAUUCUAGAGCUAAUACAUGCGACUAAGGGCCGAACUCACGUGACGCUUGCAUUUAUUAGAUCAAGACUAACCGGCUUCGGCCGUUAACUUGGUGACUCUGAAUAACUCAGCUGAUCGCACGGUCUAGUGCCGGCGACAUAUCUUUCAAGUGUCUACCUUAUCAACUGUCGAUGGUAGUUUAUGUGACUACCAUGGUUGUAACGGGUAACGGAGAAUCAGGGUUUGACUCCGGAGAGGGAGCCUGAGAAACGGCUACCACUUCUAAGGAAGGCAGCAGGCGCGCAAAUUACACAAUCUCAGCACGAGGAUGUAGUGACGAAACAUACCGAGGCGAUGCCCUUUCGGGUGUCGUCAUUGGAAUGAGUCGAAUCUAAAAAAUUCGGCAAGGAUCUAGUGGAGGGCAAGUCUGGUGCCAGCAGCCGCGGUAAUUCCAGCUCCGCAAGUGUAUAUCUAUGCUGUUGCGGUUAAAAAGCUCGUAGUUUGAUUCGCGUACUUAGCACGCAGUGUGGCCUUUCGGCUACUACUGUGAUGCGGUACAUUAUCGUCAGUUUGUCGUUGAUGCUCUUCAUUGGGUGUCAGCGGCGGCUGUCAAGUUUACUUUGAACAAAUUAAAGUGCUCAAUACAGGCGUUUCGCUUGUAUAGUUCUGCAUGGAAUAAUAGAAUAGGACUUACGUUCUAUUGUGUUGGUUUUCAGAACGAAAGUAAUGAUUAAGAGGGACAGACGGGGUCAUUCGUACUGCCACGUUAGAGGUGAAAUUCUUGGAUCGUGGCAAGACGAACUACUGCGAAAGCAUUUGACAAGAAUGUUUUCAUUAAUCAAGAACGAA
rnacentral:rRNA from 1 species